UGGGGAAUAUUGCACAAUGGAGGGAACUCUGAUGCAGCGACGCCGCGUGAGUGAUGAAGGAAUUCGUUUCGUAAAACUCUGUUCUAUGGGAAGAAAAGGACUGUACCAUAGGAGAAAGCUCCGGCUAAAUACGUGCCAGCAGCCGCGGUAAUACGUAUGGAGCGAGCGUUGUCCGGAAUUAUUGGGCGUAAAGGGUGCGCAGGCGGCUUUACAAGUUGGAUGUGAAAUAUUGUGGCUCAACCACAAACGUGCAUCCAAAACUGCAAAGCUUGAGUUAAGGAGAGGUAAGUGGAAUUCCUGGGGUAGCGGUGGAAUGCGUAGAUAUCAGGAGGAAGACCGGUGGCGAAGGCGACUUACUGGACUUAAACUGACGCUCAGGCACGAAAGCGUGGGGAGCAAACAGG
rnacentral:rRNA from 1 species